rnacentral:rRNA from 1 species
GUCUAUGGCUAUACUACCCUGAACGCGCCCUGUCUCAGAAGCUAAGCAGGGUCGUGCCUAGUUAGUACUUGGUUGGGAGAUUUACAGAUGAUUCUCAUGCAAGUUGCAGAUG